ensembl:lncRNA
AUCAGAUAAGCAUUCGGCUAUCACAGCUGUGUUAGCAAAAACACUGAAGAAUACCGGUCCUGUAGCCGUCUUAGCCACUGAAAUGGCCAAUCAUAGCGCAACUAGUGUUAACAAGGCCAGAUCUCGGGCCGCCAUCUUACUAAGUGCUACAUGGAUAUAUCCUUUAUACUGAGAGAUAUCCUUAUAAUGAGUCUUUAUUAAUCACAUAUACAUUACAGCAGAGUGACAUACUUUUCUUCACAUGUCAGAAAGUUGGGGUCAGAGCGCAGGGUCAGAGCCAUGGUACAGCAGUCAGAGCCAUGGUACAGCGCCCCUGGAGCAGAGAGGGUUAAGGGCCUUGCUCAAGGGCCCAACAGUUGCAGUGCUGGGGCUUGAACCCCCAACCUUCUGAUCAGUAACCCAGAGCCUUAACCAAGUCACCACUGUCCCUGUAUGUAUUUAUGUACAAAUUUAGCCAAGAUCACAUUGAAUUAUUUUUCAAUGCAGUACGACGUUGCGGAGGCUGGUCUAACAAUUCCACUGCUGCACAUUUCAAAGCCACAUUUAAAUGUCUCAUCACAAGAUGUGGGGCCCUAGCCGCAGGAUCAUCAGGGAACUGCACAUGCUUUGGUGAUACAGACCUGGUACAGGCAGGAUUCAGCACUUUUGUAUCUCCAACUCUAAUCAGUGAUGGCUUGGUGGUUAAGGCUCUGGGUUCCUGAUGAGAAGGUCGGUGGUUCAAGCCCCAGCCCUUGAGCAAGGCCCUUAACCCUUUCUGCUCCAGGGGUGCCGUAUCAUGGCUGACCCUGUGCUCUGACCCCAACUUCCUAACAUGCUGGGGCAAGAUGAGGAGAUAGAAAAUAUGUGCAUGGACCAGGACUUUGUUCUCCCAAACCAGGAAGUCCUGGCAACCCUGCAGAAACAUCCUUGUAUACAUUGGAGGUUGGGUGGUUAGGAAGGCACUGCUGAAAGUCUCAUGCUCCACAUGCAGGGUGGCACUCAUGGCUUCAGAACCUUGGAUUAACUCAAUCAGUGAGACAGACCCUGAAUAGGACUGUUAUCUUUCUAGGACAGUGAACUGUAUAUGCACUAAUUUAAAUGACGGGUUUUACAUCCAUUUUUUGCAUGUGAGUACUGAUUAGAUGAAUAUCACAAUACAGAUUGGUUUCAUUUAACAAUAUGACCAUGAAAAUAAAAAUGUGAUUAAUACAAUAGCUAAAGGUAGUCUGUAAAGUCACUUGGAAGGUUGUAUCACAAGGUAGUGCCUGAGAAAU